GGGGCCAUCUGUGGAACCUCAGCCUCGGGGAACACGGUGUCACAGUGCCCCCUUGUGAUCACCUCGAGACUUAGAAUCCUGCGGCCUGAGGAAACGGCGUCGCAGGGCGCCCUACCUGGGUUACAGGGUCACUUCUAGUCCCCAUGAACCACCAGGGUCGGGCCCCCACCCCCGCCCCCGCCCCCGCCCCUGGCCGGGCUCGGCCUUCUACCCCAGUCCGGGCUUCCAUCCUGUCCCGGACCCCAACUGUGGGCCGGACUUUGACCCCAGUCCGGGCCUCGAAUCCCACCCGGGCUCCUGCUCCAGUGCACGCGUUGACCCCUGUUCAGACCUCCACCCUUACCCGGGCUCCUGCUCCAGUGCACACGUUGACCCCUGUUCAGACCUCCACCCUUACCCGGGCUCCUGCUCCAGUGCACGCGUUGACCCCUGUUCAGACCUCCACCCUUACCCGGGCUCCUGCUCCAGUGCACGCGUUGACCCCUGUUCAGACCUCCACCCUUACCCGGGCUCCUGCUCCAGUGCACACGUUGACCCCUGUUCAGACCUCCACCCUUACCCGGGCCCCUGCCCCUGUGCAAACCUUGAACCCGGUUCAGGCAUCGUUCCCCAGCCGGCCCCCUGCUCCUGUACAAACCUUGACCCCUGUUCAGGCCUCAGUUCCUACCCAGGCCCCGACCCACAUGCAAACGUUAAACCUGAUCCGGGCCCCGACACCACCAGUCCAGGCCCCAACACCGGUCCGGACUCUAACUCUAGUGCGAACCUCGACCCCUUUUCGGGCCUCAACCCCGGUCCAGACCCCAACUCUAGUCCAGACUCCGGCUCCAGACCAGUUGCCUGUACCAGCCCCAGCACCAGCCUGGAUCCUGGCUGCGAUCUCCUCUGUGGAAUCCUCGAACCCAGUGCCACCUUUGGAUCCACUCACAGAACCUGCCCCGGAGCCAGCUUUGUCUUCUGAGAAGCAUCCUGCGCUGACCCCAAAGCUCGAGGCACCGGUAGUCGGCACUGUAGCCAAGAGGGACCUGGAGCCCCUUCUUGCCCUUAGCGUGCCCGCUGCUGAAGACCUGGGGGUCCCCCUGGGGGCCACCCCGAGGGCAGACUCACUGGCCUCCAAGAUGAAGGGUGCCCCCACUCCUGGGCCCAUUGUGCCAUUCCUGCCAGUUUCAACCAAUGCAUUCGCCUCCACCAGCAAGGACUUAUACCCGGACAACAAAAUCUUGAUUCGAGUGACUUACUGUGGUCUCUGAAGCUACGGCUUUCAGUACACUCUACUGAAAAUGAGUCUGGAGCAGCAAUUUCCAAACCUUCUACGCUUUGAGGAUGAAAGAGCGACCCAGGUUACCGGGGAGUUCGAAGUGUUCGUGGAGGGGAAACUGGUCCAUUCCAAGAAGGUGACUGUGAGCGGGACUGACCCCGAGGCAGGUGGAGCUGGGGCGGGCGGGCCGGCAGCCGGACACGGCUGGGUCUUUCUGUGUCCAGCAAGGCGAUGGCUUUGUGGAUGACAACAGGAUGCAGACCAUUGUGAAUGCUAUCAAUGAGGAGAUCAAGAGAAGGUAGCAGGCGGCAGCGGGGCCCAGGAGCUGCAGCAGGAUGAUGAGAAGGGCUGAAAUGUUGUUGAGUCAGGUCCUUUUCUGAUGGUGGCUGGGCUGAGUGGAGCUGGGGAGGGCUGAAAGGAAAUAUACAACCUGCCUCUGCUGGAUGUGGCCUGACUGCAUCUGCUGUCACUGCAUGAAUGACCGAAGUCCAUAGAAGUCACCUGCUCCAGGAAUCCCAGCAUGUCCUGCCUUCUGGCCCAGGGGUGAGGGGUAGGAGAGAGAGAGAGGAAGGUUAGUGCUGUAGUUGGGGCCCUAAAUGUCCCCCAGAGGCUCAUAUGCUAUGCUACAGACUUGGUGUCCCAGCCCUGGUGCUGCUGGGAGGUGGUGGCACCUCUAACAGGUGAGGCCAAGUGAAGAAGUCGAGUCACUGUGAGUCCUCUUGAAGGGGCAGUGGGACCCCAGCCCUUCCCCUCUCUUUGCUUCCCUGCUGUCACAGCAUGAGCUGAUGUCCUCUGCCAUACGCUUCCUCCAUGAGAUACAGUGACACUACAGGCCCAAAGCACAUGGGCCAGCUGGCCACAGACUGAAAGCUCUGAAGCCAUCAACUAAAAGCGAUCCUCCUAUAAACCCAGGGUCUCAGGUAUCUCGUCACAGUGAGGAGGAGCCGACCAGCAGCAUGGAGUCUGAGACCAGCCCCCUAGCUCUUGCUGGUCCUGCCUCAGUCUCUCCUGCUGUCAUGAGCACCUUGUUUCUUCCUUUCUCAGGUCCUGUGUUCAAGAUGUGUUUGGAAAACUUCCCACCUUAUUGACAUUUUUUAGGGGCUGUGAUAGCAACAGGGGUUGUGCAAGUCUUGAAUCCUUUACAGGCCAAACUCCACAGCACCCCCAAGCUCACUUUUUGCCUGGUAGGUCUUGGAAGUCCCAAGGAAGCAGAGGACCUGGAGGAGGUAUUUGUCCAUUCAGUUUAUGGGUCCCCUGCUGUGCUCCUUUGUGAACAUAUAAAAGAGGGUGUUCUCUUGGCUUCUCCCCCUAGCACCAACCAUGUCAUAUGGUCAGAUGUUUCCUUGUGUCAGUCAGCUUUCCAUCACUGUAACAUAUCUGCAAUAAAAAGAAAGGUUUAGUCUGGCUCAGGUGUAGAGGUUUCAGUGUGUGACCAUGGGGGCCCAUUAUUUUGAACCUGUGGAGAGGCAGUGCAAUGUGGUGGGAGUGCUCACGUUAUGGUGGCUGAGUAGAGAGGCACAGGAAGAGACGGGCCCACAGUGCUCUCUGCAGGCAGAGACCACUAGAGACCCAAAGACCUCACUAGGCCCCAUCUCAAAGGCUCUCCACUUGCCCUUAGCAACAGUGGAGGUUUUAUGUAUGGGCUUCUGGGGCCACUUACAUAGAUCAAGCAUUCCAGGUGUUCCAUUGAAAUGGUACUUGGAAUAUUAUUAUCUAGCUUCAAUGGUUAUAAUAUAAAAUAAGUAUGAAAACUAAUGAACUUAGAAGGAAUAUUAUUACCUGGCUUAAAUGGUUGUAUUAGAAAAUAAGAUUAAAAAAAAAAAAGAAGAAAAAAGAUGCUCAAAUAUAGUCUUAGGGCCAGGGAUUUAGCUCAGCAGCAUAAGCACCUGCCUGGUAAGUGCAAGGUCAUAAAUUCAAUCCCUGGUACUGGAAAAAAAAUCAAAAAUCAAUGAACUACAACAAUUUAUUUAUUUUGUAUUUUCAAUGGAUUUUUUUAUUUUUCAAAUCUGUUUUCUUUCUUUUUUUGUCUUUUUGAGACAGGGUCUCGCUAUGCAGUUCAGGCUGGCCUUGAGCUCACUUUGUUAGCUCAGGCUGGUCUCAAUCUCGCAAAGAUCCUCCUGCCUCAGCCUCCUGAGUGCUGGGAUUACAGGCAUGAGCCACUGUGGGGGAUGAGGUGUCACUUUGUAGGCCCAACCCCCUCUAACCUGCAAUUUACAAUAGCCGCCCUGGUAUGCGAGACGGAGGUAGAAUAGGAAUGCCUGUUCUCAGUGAGACCCCUCACCCUCUGGAAUCCAUACUGUGAGCUGGCUUUGUUUUGCAGAAGUCUUGAGGAAGUGGCUGGCCACCCUUUGUGACACUAACAGCAGACAAAUUAACAACAUUCUUGAGCUAAUGAAUUUCUUCCUGGGCUAGAGAAGUUAUGAGAACUGGUUGUGAUUAUUUACUUCACUUAGAUAGCUUUAGAAUAAACAUUGUAGUCUGUCACGUUGUAGCUUGCCACAAAGAAUGCCUUUUCACUACUUAAUUAUCUGGGCUCUGUGAACUGAUCGGGUUUACUAUAUAUGAAUCCUAAAAUAAAGAUUGUGCGUGCAGUGCAGUGUAACGCGGUGCAGACAGUAAAG